rnacentral:rRNA from 1 species
UAGGGAAUCUUCGGCAAUGGGGGGAACCCUGACCGAGCAACGCCGCGUGAGUGAAGAAGGUUUUCGGUUCUUAAAGCUCUGUCGUUAAGGAAGAACGAGUGUGAGAAUGGAAAGUUCAUACUGUGACGGUACUUAACCAGAAAGGGACGGCUAACUACGUGCCAGCAGCCGCGGUAAUACGUAGGUCCCGAGCGUUGUCCGGAUUUAUUGGGCGUAAAGCGAGCGCAGGCGGUUAGAUAAGUCUGAAGUUAAAGGCAGUGGCUCAACCAUUGUAGGCUUUGGAAACUGUUUGACUUGAAUGCAGAAGGGGGGAGUAAAAUUCCAUGUGUAGCGGUGAAAUGCGUAGAUAUAUGGAGGAACACCGGUGGCGAAAGCGGCUCUAUGGUCUGUAACUGACGCUGAGGCUCGAAAGCGUGGGGAGCGAACAGG